GUGAAUCAUCGAAUUUUUGAACGCAAAUUGCGCUUCCUGGCAUCCCGGGAAGUAUGCCUGUUUGAGGGUCAGUAUUAAUAAAAAAUCGGUUAAGUUACAAAUUGUGACGUUUCCGGUGUUUGGGUUAUCUUAACAUUUUGGGGUAAAAUCUUGAAAAUUGACCUUUUAUGCGCUUUUUUAAACUUAGACAAAUUUUUUUGUUUUGUCU
rnacentral:misc_RNA from 1 species